rnacentral:rRNA from 1 species
GACGAACGCUGGCGGCGUGCUUAACACAUGCAAGUCGAACGGAAAGGCCCUGCUUUUGUGGGGUGCUCGAGUGGCGAACGGGUGAGUAACACGUGAGUAACCUGCCCUUGACUUUGGGAUAACUUCAGGAAACUGGGGCUAAUACCGGAUAGGAGCUCCUGCUGCAUGGUGGGGGUUGGAAAGUUUCGGCGGUUGGGGAUGGACUCGCGGCUUAUCAGCUUGUUGGUGGGGAGUGGCUUACCAAGGCUUUGACGGGUAGCCGGCCUGAGAGGGUGACCGGCCACAUUGGGACUGAGAUACGGCCCAGACUCCUACGGGAGGCAGCAGUGGGGAAUAUUGCACAAUGGGCGGAAGCCUGAUGCAGCAACGCCGCGUGCGGGAUGACGGCCUUCGGGUUGUAAACCGCUUUCGCCUGUGACGAAGCGUGAGUGACGGUAAUGGGUAAAGAAGCACCGGCUAACUACGUG